UCAAAAGCUGUGAAGGGGCAAAGCUGUAACUGUUUUUUACAGAGAGCCGUUAUAUGCUGAGAAACGGUAAAAACAGUUACUGCGAGCCACCCUGGAGCUGCUGGUGAAUUAAGCCAUGCCGGAUGACUCCGUUAUUAGGUCUUGUUUGAGAGGUGGACUGUCCUUAAAUUUAAAUAUAAAGGGGCAGUCAACUAGGGUGGUACCGCGAGAAAAUUCUCGUCCCUUGG
rnacentral:ncRNA from 1 species